rnacentral:rRNA from 1 species
ACUUUGGAGAGUUUGAUCCUGGCUCAGAGUGAACGCUGGCGGCGUGGAUUAGGCAUGCAAGUCGAGCGAUGCUUGAUGAUGAGUCAGACUGACCGCAAGGAAGGUUUGACAAGUUGUUAAGCACAGCGGCAAACGGGUGAGUAACACGUGAGUAACUUUCCCUUAAGUUGAGCAUAGCGCCGUGAAAACGGCGGUAAUUCUCGAUAGUACCAUAUACCGGCAUCGGGACAUGGUUAAAGGCGGGGACCGCAAGGCCUGCCGCUUAGGGAUGGGCUGUGAAUGCUGGUUAAUAAAUCCUUCGAUCUGCGCGGCGCUGAAUUUCGUA